rnacentral:lncRNA from 1 species
AUGGAUGCGGCGAGACAGCAUCCAGAAGAUAGAACUCACAAAAGCAAAACCAGCUAUAGAGAAGCCGGGUCCUGCUAUACCGGCGGCUGGCUACCCCAUCACGCCCUCCCCUUGGAUCGUCCUCCCUCCCGAGCCCGAGGAAACCAACCCAAACUGCACCGCUUCAGCCCCUCGGAACCCCCGCGGCCCCCUCCCGUCCCAGCACCUCUCAGCCCCCAACACUCGGACCCCCAGCGUCACCCGCCUCUAGGUCCGCCGUUCAACCGCCGCCCUCCGAGCCCCGCCCCGCAGCAACCUGCACCGGCUUCUCAUUGGCCAAAAGGCGCCAGCUUCCGGGGGGUCAUUGGCCGCCGCCGCCGCCCAUACAGAGAAAGCCUGCCCCCCGCCAAAUUUGGUUUUUAUUGGCCAGGAACGUGCGUCAUACCAGAUUUUUAUUGGCUAACUUGGCAGCCCGUCGAGCUAAGUCCGGCCUCUAGGACUGCCAGUCUGGAUAAUCCAGCUCUAGAACCUCCGACUGUCCGGACGGUAGGCCCGUCUCUGCCGUUUAUUGGUCACUCAGGUGCCAGUUAGACCAGGAUCGGGGCGGGUCUACGGGAGCUAUUCCGACGGUCCCCCGAGUUGGUACCCAAAUCGCUGCGAUGCUGGGACUGGAGGCUCAGAGCUCCGUACCAGGCGCUCCCUUCCAAACCAAGCCGGGGGUGCUAAGCGAGGGACGGAGGAACCUUAAAACUGGAAGGCAUUGAGCCACCCCCCCCCCCAAAUAUUGCCACAGAGGCCCAACGAUCCCCUUUACACACCUGAGCAAACUCCCAAAGUAAUACUUCCGAAACAUGGCCUCUUCCCCUCGGCACUCUCUGGCUCAAGAAACCCCCGUGGCUCCCUAUCACCUAGAACAGAUUAAAUUAGAUUUCCUAGUCUGACGCUCCAAAUUUACAGCCUUAUUCCUACAGGACUCUUUUUCUAACACUACAUUCCAGGUUGUACUCCUACAUGCUGUUCUUUCAACACGUAGUCAUCCAUCUCCCAUCUCUGGAAAUUUACUCCUUUCUCCACAUAUUAGAUCAGCUCCAGUGCUACCUCCCAAGGCAGGCCUGUGUGCCUGGCCACCAGAAAUUGUAUAUAUUUUAUAUUUGAGAAAAAAGCCAAGCAGAGACCUGGGUUCAAACCCUCCUCCUCCAAACUUCCCUCUAGGAACAAAUCCCCCAGACUCACAACCUAGGUGGUAUCCUCUCAGUCCCUUGUUCUCUGUUUAUUUUUUCCCUAAAACCCUUUCUUUCUGUCUUAGUAACAACUCUUAAGAAGGCCAAGGGCUAGGCAGUGCAGGAGUUAAGUGACUAACCCAGGGUCAUGUAGCUAGGAAGUGUCUGAGUCCAAAUUUGAACCCAAGACCUCCUGUCUCUGGGCCUGGCUCUCAAUCCACUGAGCUACCCAGCUGUCCCCUAAUAAAUUUUUAUUGACUGACA